rnacentral:rRNA from 1 species
UACGUAGGGUGCAAGCGUUGUCCGGAAUUAUUGGGCGUAAAGAGCUUGUAGGCGGUUUGUCGCGUCUGCUGUGAAAUUUCGGGGCUCAACCCCGAACUUGCAGUGGGUACGGGCAGACUAGAGUGUGGUAGGGGAGACUGGAAUUCCUGGUGUAGCGGUGAAAUGCGCAGAUAUCAGGAGGAACACCGAUGGCGAAGGCGGUGAUCUGGGCCGGCACUGACGCUGAGGAGCGAAAGCGUGGGUAGCAAACAGG